GGAAUACCUCGGAGAUGUGGGUUUGGUACCAGAACACUGCCAUGAAGUGAAUAUCUCAAAAAAUAGGUAGUGUCUGAGCAGUGGAGGCUGAAUGCAUGAGGUAUACUGCAGAGACAAUCAUAAGAUGUGGUGGAAUCCCUACAGCACUAAAAGUGUGAGAAACAAAGUAAGGGACAAUGUAGAGGACCCAGGACAUGAAUUGGGGGCAUCUUACCUGGUCUGCACAUUUGGAACCUUGGGAAUUUGAG